rnacentral:rRNA from 1 species
UACGGGGGGGGCAAGCGUUGUUCGGAAUUACUGGGCGUAAAGGGCGCGUAGGCUGCUCGCUAAGUCGGGUGUGAAAACUCUGGGCUCAACCCAGAGCCUGCAUUCGAAACUGACGAGCUAGAGUUCUGGAGGGGAAAGCGGAAUUCCUGGUGUAGCGGUGAAAUGCGUAGAGAUGGGGGAGAACACUCGUGGCGAAGGCGGCCAGCUAGACCAGUUCUGACACUGAGGCGCGAUAGCGUGGGGAGCAAACAGG